rnacentral:misc_RNA from 1 species
UGGCCAUGGUUAUGGCGAGUAAGUGGUUUCUCUAUUCUAUCAUUUUUAAGAUUUUGUUGUCAUGUCAUGCAGUGCAAUCAAGAAGUGAUUGUUUCAUUGCACAAGAAAAAUGGGAUUAACAGAAUCCAUUGUGAAACUCCUGCUUUAUUUUAUGAUAUUUUUAGUAGUCCAUUUUGUAGCCUUCGUAACUGUGAAUAGAACUAACAGAGGAGUGCUAUGAAUUGUUUUAAACCCCAUUAGAUUGUUCUUUUUGUUCGAUUCAAGUCUCUGUCAUUUAGUCCUCCGUUCCUGUUAGAUGCAUUUACCCGACUUGUCCUUCAUCCGAAGCAUUUGAUUGUGGCCAGAACUUUUAAACCUGAGUGGCAGAAAGAUUGUGAACCUUUCUUCUGAGAAUAGAGAUGUAUUGUUUAACUUGUUUCUAAAAUUAUGAUUAGAUAAUGACUAAUUGUUUUGUAAUUUAAGCAACUGAGCAGCAAUAUGUGAAAUAUAUUAUUGUAGGAAACCUCCAUAUGAUUCUGA